rnacentral:tmRNA from 1 species
GGGGGCGAAACGGAUUCGACGGGGAUAACGAAGCUCAGACUGCAUGCCGAGGUCUCUACCUGCUCGUAAAACGGUGGAAAAUAAAGAUAGUCGCAGACGACUACUCUUACGCUCUGGCUGCAUAGCCAGCGUCCCCCCCUUCCGCUCCCGCGGGAUUGGGAUGGGGCGUCGACUAGCGGGAUAGCCAAGGGGAGCCGCCGGCCGGCCCCAAGGCGAAACAAAGGCUGGAUAGCGCACGAAACACUCGGUCCCGGAGCGGUUUCGGGCGCGAUAAGAAGCUACUCGGGAAUAAGCAUGUAGACGUUUGACGUGGACUAUUUUCGGACGCGGGUUCAACUCCCGCCGCCUCCACCA